rnacentral:lncRNA from 1 species
CAGAGUGUUCCUGGAGCAAAUCUGUAGACUCUAAAUAUUCUCCAGCAGAUUGUAAAUUUUGGAUAUGGUGCUAGCAAAGAGAAGAAAGGAAAGCAGCAAAUUGGGUGACCGAAAAUUGUGUUCAAACCUAGUAUGUACAUGGUAUGGAGAUUUCCAUUUUUAAAAAAAGAAUCUUCAGUAGAUAAUAAAAUUGAAGUAUAUGCCCUG